UGGGGAAUCUUGCACAAUGGGGGCAACCCUGAUGCAGCGACGCCGCGUGAGCGAUGAAGCCCUUCGGGGCGUAAAGCUCUUUCGACCGGAACGAUAAUGACGGUACCGGGAGAAGAAGCUGCGGCUAACUACGUGCCAGCAGCCGCGGUAAUACGUAGGCAGCAAGCGUUGUUCGGAGUUACUGGGCGUAAAGAGUGCGUAGGCGGUUUUCUAAGUUCGGUGUGAAAUCUCCCGGCUUAACUGGGAGGGUGCGCCGAAGACUGGGAAGCUGGAGUGUGGGAAAGGCAGGCGGAAUUCCUGGUGUAGCGGUUAAAUGCGUAGAUAUCAGGAGGAACACCAGCGCUGUAGACGGCUUGCUAGACCAUAACUGACGCUGAGGCACGAAAGCGUGGGUAGCAAACA
rnacentral:rRNA from 1 species